rnacentral:lncRNA from 1 species
CACGUGUGGACAUUGGGACCCCAGGGCCUGAGCUGAGACCCCAGCACUGCCCUUUACUCUCUGGGACCUUGGACAAGUGACCCAACCUCUCUGUGCCUCGCUGUCCUCAUCUGGAAAAUGGAGACAAUAACUGUAUCCAGGUCACUGCUUUCUUAGGAAGAUUAGCAAGACCAGUAUACAACGUGCCAGGGUCAUCUAUGCUGGGAAGGGCUGAGUGGGCUGCAGACAGGGCCAUGGAUGGCCUCUCUGAGCAGGUGCUUUUGAGACCAGACCAGUGGAAGUGGGGAGCAACCUUGCAGCUGGUCUGGGUCAGGCGCAGGGCAAAAGCCCAGGGCAGGGAGCACUUCAGGUGCUCGAGAAGUGGUGAGAAUCCACGGGGAGCAAGAGCCCAGGAAGCCAGGCAUCGACAAUGGAGUUCCCUCUGAGCACCUGAGACGGCUGUGCCGGGGACUCCUGAGCAGAGGCCAAUGCAGCCAACUCGCAUUUAAGGGCCCGCUGGCUGUCGUGGAAGUGCCUGGAUACUCAGGAAGAGCUACAAGCAUCUGGAGGCGGCCCAAGGGUGCAGAGUUUGAUUCUUUCCAUUGACAUGUUAC